AUACGUAGGGUGCAAGCGUUAAUCGGAAUUACUGGGCGUAAAGCGUGCGCAGGCGGUUUUGUAAGACAGUGGUGAAAUCCCCGGGCUCAACCUGGGGACUGCCAUUGUGACUGCAAGGCUGGAGUGCGGCAGAGGGGGGUGGAAUUCCUCGGGUAGCAGUGAAAUGCGUAGAUAUGCGGAGGAACACCGAUGGCGAAGGCAAUCCCCUGGGCCUGCACUGACGCUCAUGCACGAAAGCGUGGGGAGCAAACAGGAUUAGAUACCCUGGUAGUCCACGCCCUAAACGAUGUCAACUGGUUGUUGGGGAUUUAUUUUCUCAGUAACGAAGCUAACGCGUGAAGUUGACCGCCUGGGGAGUACGGCCGCAAGGUUAAAACUCAAAUGAAUUGACGGGG
rnacentral:rRNA from 1 species